rnacentral:rRNA from 1 species
CUCCCAGGACAGUGGAUGACUCGGCUCGUGGGUCGAUAAAACACAGCAAAUUGCGCGUCGACAUGUGAACUGCAGGACACAUGAACAUCGACGUCUCGAACGCACAUUGCGGUCCAUGGAUUCCGUUCCCGGGACACGUCUGGCUGAGGGUCG